GAUGACUCAACAUGACGGUCAGCAAGUGUGCUCUAUCGGCCUUCCCGCGCGGAACCCAUUUGAAUUAGCGCGCGAAGCCACGCCUCUGUUCGAGAGUUUUCUGCUGUUGAAUUGGGCAUGCGACGACUUUUUUGUCAGUUUCGU
ensembl:ncRNA T04C12.18 ncRNA